GGGCUUGUAGCUCAACUGGUUAGAGUGCCACGUUCGCAACGUGGAGGUUCCGGGUUCAACUCCCGGCAAGUCCA
rnacentral:tRNA from 3 species